rnacentral:rRNA from 1 species
GACGUAGGUGGCGAGCGUUAUUCGGAAUUACUAGGCGUAAAGCGAGUGUAGGCGGAUGCUUAAGUCCGUAGUGAAAUCUCCCGGCUCAACCGGGAGGGGUCUGCGGAUACUGGGCGUCUUGAAUUGGGUAGGGGGGAUCAGAAUUCCCGGUGUAGCGGUGAAAUGCGCAGAUAUCGGGAAGAAUACCGGUGGCGAAGGCGGAUCCCUGGACCUGGAUUGACGCUGAGACUCGAAAGCUAGGGGAGCAAACGGG